rnacentral:lncRNA from 1 species
GUAAGCAACGUGCUUCCACCUCUGCUCCUCCUUCUUCUCAUGGGUACUAUCCGUAUCAAGAUGGUACUGUCUUAUUCUUUAAGAGCGAAAACAAGCUCAACCGUUUUGUUACCAAAUUUGAAAAACGAGAAAUUCAUCCUCCCCGUUUUUCUACUGAAAGAUAUCUCGGAGCCUAUGGUCUUGCUGCCAAUCUACUUCAUGAAAGUCAACUUCUUGACUUCCUACUUCUCUCUUAUGAUUUUAUUAAUAAUACACUGAUUCG